rnacentral:rRNA from 1 species
UACGGAGGGAGCUAGCGUUAUUCGGAAUUACUGGGCGUAAAGCGCGCGUAGGCGGUUACUCAAGUCAGAGGUGAAAGCCCGGGGCUCAACCCCGGAACCUGCCUUUGAAACUAGGUAACUAGAAUCUUGGAGAGGUCAGUGGAAUUCCGAGUGUAGAGGUGAAAUUCGUAGAUAUUCGGAAGAACACCAGUGGCGAAGGCGACUGACUGGACAAGUAUUGACGCUGAGGUGCGAAAGCGUGGGGAGCAAACAGG